CAUUGUGAAAACAUCGCAGGUGAUGUGUAUACGACUCUCUCAUUUAGCGUAAAUGAAAUUAGCCGUCAGGGAUUCGGCCUUUCUGCGGGAUUCAUGCAAUGGUGAACAUUGGACAAGUGGGGCACCCGUGAUCCAGCCAUGGCGUUAAUUUGACGACAGCGUUCGAUAGGCAAAGCACGUUCAGUGAAGAUGAACGCCUGGCUGGAAUUACCGGGUAGGAAAUCCAUCACUCUCAGAAGAAGCACGCACUUCAUCCGUGCCAGCAGCCGGGGUAAUACGGAGGGUGCAAGCGUUAAUCCCGAUUACUAGCAUUUCACCGCUACACCGACUUGAUAAGCCGGUUGUGAAAGCCCCGGGCUCAACGUUGGAACGGCAUCUGGAAGUGUCAGCCUGGGGUGCUCGCAAGGAAGGUAGCAUUCCACGUGUAGCGGUGAAAUGCGUAGAGAUUGGGAGGAAUACCAGCACCGAAGGCGGCAUUGCGGAUGGACACUGACAGUUAGGUGCGAAAUCGUGGGUAGCAAACAUGUUUCGAUACGGGUGUUGUCCACUCGGUAAUCGUCGUCGACCAACGUGCGGGUGCCUAGGAGGGCCUUCGGCGCACACAACGCGAUAAGUGAUCCGGGUGGGGAGCACGGCCCCAUGUCCCCACUCAACGAACUGUCGGA
rnacentral:rRNA from 1 species